ACGAACGCUGGCGGCGUGCUUAACACAUGCAAGUCGAACGGAAAGGCCCUGCUUUUGUGGGGUGCUCGAGUGGCGAACGGGUGAGUAACACGUGAGUAACCUGCCCUUGACUUUGGGAUAACUUCAGGAAACUCGGGCUAAUACCGGAUAGGAGCUCCUGCUGCAUGGUGGGGGUUGGAAAGUUUCGGCGGUUGGGGAUGGACUCGCGGCUUAUCAGCUUGUUGGUGGGGUAGUGGCUUACCAAGGCUUUGACGGGUAGCCGGCCUGAGAGGGUGACCGGCCACAUUGGGACUGAGAUACGGCCCAGACUCCUACGGGAGGCAGCAGUGGGGAAUAUUGCACAAUGGGCGGAAGCCUGAUGCAGCAACGCCGCGUGCGGGAUGACGGCCUUCGGGUUGUAAACCGCUUUCGCCUGUGACGAAGCGUGAGUGACGGUAAUGGGUAAAGAAGCACCGGCUAACUACGUG
rnacentral:rRNA from 1 species